rnacentral:rRNA from 1 species
UACGUAGGGGCAAGCGUUGUCCGGAAUCAUUGGGCGUAAAGAGCGUGUAGGCGGUCCGGUCAGUCGGUUGUGAAAGUCAAGGGCUCAACCCUUGAAUGCCGGCCGAUACUGCCGGGCUAGAGUCCGGAAGAGGUGAGUGGAAUUCCUGGUGUAGCGGUGAAUGCGCAGAUAUCAGGAGGAACACCAAUGGCGAAGGCAGCUCACUGGACGUACUGACGCUGAGACGCGAAAGCGUGGGAGCAACAGG